ACUAAUCCUCCUUUAAGACUGGAAGCAUCUUCCAGCCACAGGGACACCUAGAAAGCUCAUGAUUACCUGCAACAACAUGGGUUCGAAAACCCUGAGUAUGGAGUGUACUUUCGCAAGUCUUACCCGACUAAGGAAAAAGACUCUCAAGGAUAUGCUGGAUUUAGGAAUCAAGGAAAGGCUUUUAGCAAGAAUCAACUAUAAUAGUUUGCAGAAAAGCUUACUAAAAUGAGUCCUUACUUUCAACAUUUUAAUGCUAGAUUAAGUAUUAAUAGACCUUGUUUGCAUCUAGUCUAAUUUCAUCAUCACAUUAAUCAAUACAACAUGAUUUUUGCUCAUUAUGAUUCCAUCCAUGACUUAGAUUGCAGGGUAGUGAUCAAGUCUCCAUUGUCCGAGGAUAUAACGGCGAUCCAAAUCGAUUUACCCAGCUAGGGAUCCCUAACCUCAUGACAUAUAUAGCACUUAACCCUUGCAUAUGCCAACCCGCCCCCUGCUAUCUCAAGACCAGACCAGGUUCACGCCAACCGAGAGCACAAUUACUCCACCGUCCAGCCUCUUGCCACGGAGGGCACACGCUACUCUCGUCAUCUCUCUACUCCCAUUGCGUGGUAGCCUUUCUGGUAUUGGUCAAGCUGAGAUUAGGCUUACCCUGUCCCAUACCAGGGCAUGUGACUAGUUAAUAUAGUCCUCGAUCAGCAAGCCUACAUUCUCUAUAAUCCUUAAUCAACCUGAGCAGAACAUCACCUGUUCCUAGCCCAAGUCUCGAUUUAAGUAUUUUCAUCCUUAGGACUUAUUUGUGUGCCUUAGAAUGAUUAAAACAUCACAAGGAACCUUGCAUUAGAUCUCCCCAUGGUCCGAUGAAAAUAUUAGGUAGAGCCAUCCUUCCUCGGGAUAAGCCCUGAGCUAGGCAUUAGUGCAAAGGACAAACUCUAUCUGCAAGAUUUACCUCUAGGCAGGGCUAAGCAAUUUUUGUAAACAAUAUUUGAUACUUCUAAAGAACUAUUUAUAGCAGGAAUGGAUAUCAAGGUAGUCAAUGCAUCAAAUAGUUUCCAAGCAACUCCUAUAAACUUAAUGCACAUUUCACUAGACUUAAAAGUGUAUAAAAGUCUUUUCAAAAAUACAAGGAAGGGGCAAAUGCACCGGGGCUUGCCUUUGUUGUAGAUAAGAUUCAGGAUCCUUCUACCACAUAAUUAGUUAGACAACUCAAUCCACUUGAGGAACAGAUUUAGAAGUAGACUUCUCUCCAGAAACCACUUCUUCUGGAUUUCCACCUCUUCCUUUAGGAGCUCUACAUGAAAUGAUAUGAACUUGAAUGCUUAUGUUUCUUGCAAAUAAAAUACUAUAAAACAUCACAAGACUAUACUUCCUCUCAAAGGUGUAACCAAAACACAAAACAAAGGAUUUACUAGCACAAAGACUCUAAAUACUCUAAUAACAUAACCAAACUCUUCAACCAUGCAAGGGAACCAUGUCUCUAUAUCCAAGUACUCCACCAAUACCUUAAGCAAGGAUCUAACUCUCUAACAUUGAACCCUACAAGCUAUGGCUAUCAAGAGACUAGAACACACAAAGCUCCAAAUUAAGGAGAAAAACACUGGACCGUAGUGACAGUAACUGAAGCUGGUCUGCAUUGCACAUGUCUGACAGAGCUAGUUAGGACACCAUUAACUUCCAAAUUUAUAUAGUACCAAGCCAAGCUUCCACAAGUAAACUUGCUUACUAAUACUUGGUCUCCAAUUUUGCUACACAAAAUAUAUCUCCUAACUGCACAGAACAACCCCAAGGAAACUCCAAUGUUGAGCCAACAUACUGAAAUGUCCAAUUUCAGAUGUCUGGAAUAGCCUAACAUCAACCUGACCGCCUAACUUUGAGCAAGAUUUACACCUAGUUCUGUAUAGCUCUAAGGUUAAAUAGCUUAAUCAAGUUUGUGCUCCUAGAACAGAUAUACAAGGUUGCUAUAAUGACCAACAACUAAAGACUCAUGGAUUCAAUGCUAUAUUGCUUCAAAGUUGACACCAUUCAUUGCAACCAGUUUCCGUUAACUGAAACAGACACACAUUAAGUCUGUCAGAAGGAUUUGUAACCUCAUUUACUCUAAUUUUCACAUAAGAACAAAUCCAACACUUAUAUGAAACCUGUUCUCCUUCAAAUGGUCUUUGACUGUGCUAUAAGAUUCUUAGUCCAAAACCUUGUGGACUGAUCACAAAGUUGCUCCAAACUGGGCACCAAAUACUAAAACUUUAGUUGGAGUUAACUGAAUUCAGUAUAGAGAAAAAUAAGCCUGACAGCACACCUUUAGGCACUAAUUAUUCCCAGCUCUAAGUACUGUCAAGGGCAUAAUCCUCACCAAAUUUUACUCUCCUAACACUGGUCUUCAUGUUUUCUAUAGCAACUAUAGUCUAAAACUACUCAAAUUGGUCACAAAACACCUCCAAACUGAGUACUCAAUACUGCAAUUUCAGGUUUCAGUUCUGAAUAAAAAUUCAGCCCAACAAACCUGACAGUCCAUGUUCUCGGUGGGUGCAUGAAACUGCUCGGGGAAGACGUAUGCUGGCUGGUCGACGAUGAAAACUAAACACGACGACGAUUUGCGGUGGCGCGAUUACGUUCUGGCCAUAAUGAGGUCACCACUAGCAGGGAGAUAGCGCCCUGUGCACAAGGGCCGACCGAGUUGGUGGUGGGAGAGAGGGCUAUCUCUAGUAUGGACACA
rnacentral:lncRNA from 1 species